AAACGGCGCGGGAGCGGCGGAGCGAGUCCGCACCGCCCCGGUGCGCCGGGCCGCGUUGACCCUCCCGGGACGCGGCCGCAACACGUGGAGCGAACUUUUGAGGGACGCGUGUCUGCGCCGGACGGGAGCCCCGCCGCCCGGGAUCGCAACGCUGCACGGAGCAGCUCGUCUCUCUCCGGAGCAUUUCAACUGCUUUUCUUAAAGCUGAAUUCUUUAUAAACAAGGAGUGACUAGAAACCCUGAGCUGAGUCCCAGGUCUGGCUUAACUUUGUAAGGCACACUGACACACUGAGGCUGCUCCACUUAAGGUAUGGUAUGAACCAGGAGCUGAUCCCGUGGCUGUGGAAUGAGUGUUCACAUGGAGUCAUCCUGCUGUAGCUAUUGCAGCUGCUGUGUAAGCAAGUCCUAAAGGACAAUCCUUGUUCCCAGUGUGACUGUGUGACAGAUAAGACACAAUGGGCACAAGGAAGAUGCUGCUAUCAGUGAAGGAUGGAUACUGUUCAACCCACUGGGAAUAAAGAAACCUGGGCUGUUCAAGGCCCCACAGAACUGGGAGUUUCCUUCGUGUCAGCUGAUUGCAGAAUUGGGACACUUUUGGAACUGUUUGUGUCCAGACUUCCUGCUUUUACACCUUUGAUUUCUGAGACUGCCUCAUCACAGGAAACACCAGAUCUGCUGUUCCUCUCCAGAAGGAUUUCUGUAUCCAGCAACUCUUGUGUCUUUUUUGGACACUGAAACAAGAUAAAAGGGCUUGAAUGUUUCCUUGGCAAGAUGGUUGGAUGGAAUUAGUUUAAUCUGUUCUGAUUCUGACACCUACAGUAAACUGACCCAAUCAUCACUUCUGCUAACAGGCUGCAAAGUUACACUCUACUACUGUGGAAUAUUCUUUGUGAUGAAAACAGGAGGAUCAGGAAUGGGGGUUUGUAACUUUUUUGGAUGAGUUUCUGUUACAAUUUUUAUCUUUAGUAUCAACACUUUAAAUAAGAAUAUUUAUAUGUUAAAAUAAACAUAUUUUUUGCCCUGGAA